rnacentral:tRNA from 1 species
UUAACUAAAGCCAAAGAGAGGCUUUUCAUUGUUAAUGAAAAUAAUGGGGUAAACCCUAGUUAAA